rnacentral:rRNA from 1 species
CUACGGGAUGCUGCAGUGAGGAAUAUUGCACAAUGGGGGGAACCCUGAUGCAGCAACGCCGCGUGGAGGAUGACGCAUUUCGGUGUGUAAACUCCUUUUAUAUGUCAAGAAAAUGACGGUAGCAUAUGAAUAAGCACCGGCUAACUCCGUGUCAGCAGCCGCGGUAAUACGGAGGGUGCAAGCGUUACUCGGAAUCACUGGGCGUAAAGGACGCGUAGGCGGGCUUGUAAGUCAGGUGUGAAAUCCUACAGCUUAACUGUAGAACUGCACUUGAAACUACGAGCCUAGAGUAUGGGAGGGGCAGAUGGAAUUAGUGGUGUAGGGGUAAAAUCCGUAGAUAUCACUAGGAAUACCGAAAGCGAAGGCGAUCUGCUGGAACAUUACUGACGCUAAGGCGUGAAAGCGUGGGGAGCAAACGGGAUUAGAUACCCCCGUAGUC